CGCAGUCGACAGGAUUCGAACCUGUGCGGGAAGAUCCCAGUGGAUUUCUAGUCCGUCGCUUUCCGCACUCGGUCACCACUGC